GAUGAACGCUGGCGGCGUGCCUAACACAUGCAAGUCGAGCGGGAAAUCUCCGAUUGAAACUUGGUCGAUUGACGAGAUGGAGAGCGGCGACGGGUGAGUAACGCGUAGGCAACCUGCCCUUUGCAGAGGGAUAGCCACUGGAAACGGUGAUUAAAACCUUGGUGGUGACGGAUGGGCAUGCGGUGCAUUAGCUAGUUGGUGAGGUAACGGCUCACCAAGGCGACGAUGCAUAGGGGUUCUGAGAGGAAGGUCCCCCACACUGGUACUGAGACACGGACCAGACUCCUACGGGAGGCAGCAGUGAGGAAUAUUGGUCAAUGGUCGAGAGACUGAACCAGCCAAGUCGCGUGAGGGAAGACUGCCCUAUGGGUUGUAAACCUCUUUAGUCGGGGAGCAAAAAGCGGACGUGUCCGCCAUUGAGCGUACCCGAAGAAUAAGCAUCGGCUAACUCCGUG
rnacentral:rRNA from 1 species